rnacentral:rRNA from 1 species
AGAGUUUGCUCCUGGCUCAGGAUGAACGCUGGCGGCGUGCUUAACACAUGCAAGUCGAACGGAAACUAUAUGUGAGCGGAACGGUGCUUGCACUCGAACAAUCUUUUAUAGUUUUAGUGGCGGACGGGUGAGUAACGCGUGGGUAACCUGCCUCACACUGGGGGACAACAGUUAGAAAUGACUGCUAAUACCGCAUAAGCGCACGGAAUCGCAUGAUUCAGUGUGAAAAACUCCGGUGGUGUGAGAUGGACCCGCGUCUGAUUAGCUAGUUGGUGAGGUAACGGCCCACCAAGGCGACGAUCAGUAGCCGGCCUGAGAGGGUGAACGGCCACAUUGGGACUGAGACACGGCCCAAACUCCUACGGGAGGCAGCAGUGGGGAAUAUUGGACAAUGGGGGAAACCCUGAUCCAGCGACGCCGCGUGAGUGAAGAAGUAUUUCGGUAUGUAAAGCUCUAUCAGCAAGGAAGAAAAUGACGGUACUUGACUAAGAAGCUCCGGCUAAAUACGUGCCAGCAGCCGCGGUAAUACGUAUGGAGCAAGCGUUAUCCGGAUUUACUGGGUGUAAAGGGAGCGUAGACGGCAAAGCAAGUCUGAAGUGAAAUGCCGGGGCUUAACCCCGGAACUGCUUUGGAAACUGUUUAGCUAGAGUGCAGGAGAGGUAAGUAGAAUUCCUAGUGUAGCGGUGGAAUGCGUAGAUAUUAGGAGGAAUACCGGUGGCGAAGGCGACUUACUGGACUGAAACUGACGCUGAGGCACGAAAGCGUGGGGAGCAAACAGGAUUAGAUACCCUGGUAGUCCACGCUGUAAAC